AGGUUCAUUGAAAUUGAAUGUUGACUCCAUGUUGGUCCGCCAAAGCUACUGCUGCUUGUAUUGCUGUCAAUUGCCGGCAUUGAAGAUAGAAUGCUGGUUAGGAAUGGCGUUUGAAAUUCCUAAAGGACUUAAGAUUCAUCUACUUUUUAUUUUUUUUAUUUUUUUGGUUUCACCUAGGUCAUUUCUACUUUAUUUUCUUGCUUUUGGUGGAGAUUUUGCUUUCUUGAUUUUGAUGGGUUGUUCUUGUUCAAUUAAUGCAACUGGCUUUUUCCAGGAAGUUGGAUCCCAUGUUUUCAAUUUUCUUUUGCUUUACUUUGUUUUCCACAAGCCACGGUAGUGGAGAAGGGAUUAAUGUUCAAAUUUUAAAUUAAAUUAAACAUCUCCAUUAAAUACAAGUUAAAAU
rnacentral:misc_RNA from 1 species